UGGGGGGUGAUUCAGCUGAUGUUUGCCUCGAGGACUGGGUUGAACCACAGAACCAAUUAGCUUCAACAGUUGGGCAUGGCGGCACUCCUUUAUAAUCCCGGCACUGGAGACGUGGUGGUAGGCAAGGCAAGCUGGAUAACCAGCAUGGCAUACCUGGCAAAUUCCAGUCCAGUAAGAGACUCUAUCUUCACAAAAAGCAUCCUUACUGGAGGAUCCUCAGCUGCAAGGUCACCCCAUGAUCCAAAAUGGCAGCUGGAGAUUCAGCUGCCUGGUGAGCAGUGGAGAAAUGAGGAAGGCACAAGGUAAAGGAUCCUUUCAGCCGUCUUUGCAGAUGAAGUAAACAGCAUCUCCCCCUCGUAUCGGACUGGCCAGAAGCUGAUCAAGAGACCACAAGCAAGCAAAGAAGUCUGGGUGCUGUCAUCUUAACCUGACGCUUGCAGCUGAAGGAGGAGGAAUGGACCAGUCAGGGACCCUUCCUACUGAGCUGCACCUCAGACACAAUUGUGAUCUCUUGGCUGGCUGGCUGUGUGCCACUGUGUACUCUGAGACCCCAGGGCAGUGCUUGGCACACGGUAGAGAUUUCCCCCCAGUUUUUCCUUUGUAUUGAAGUUUAUCAUAUAUAUGGAUACACUCACUGUUCUGAGAAAUUUCCAUAUACAAAUACACCGAGGUAUAUUAAGAUGUAGAUCA